rnacentral:rRNA from 1 species
CCAAUAGCGUAUAUUAAAGUUGUUGCAGUUAAAAAGCUCGUAGUUGAAUUUCGGGAUCAAAUUAUCGGUCGUGCCUCGGUACGUACUGGUAUUAUUGGUUCCUCCCUUCUGACGAACCACGAUGUCAUUAAUUUGGUGUCAUGGGAAAUCAGGACUGUUACUUUGAAAAAAUUAGAGUGUUUAAAGCAGGCUCGCGCUUGAAUACAUUAGCAUGGAAUAAUGAAAUAGGACGUUUGAUUCUAUUUUGUUGGUUUCUAGGAUCGACGUAAUGAUUAAUAGGGAUAGUUGGGGGCAUUAGUAUUCAAUUGUCAGAGGUGAAAUUCUUGGAUUUAUUGAAGACUAACUACUGCGAAAGCAUUUGCCAAGGAUGUUUUCAUUAAUCAAGAACGAAAGUUAGGGGAUCGAAGACGAUCAGAUACCGUCGUAGUCUUAACCAUAAACUAUGCCGACUAGGGAUCGGAUGAUGUUAAUUUUUUAAUGACUCAUUCGGCGCCUUACG